rnacentral:rRNA from 1 species
UCGAGAAUCUUCGGCAAUGGGCGCAAGCCUGACCGAGCGACGCCGCGUGUGGGAUGAAGGCCCUUGGGUUGUAAACCACUGUCAGAGGGGAUGAAGUGCCGGAUGGUAAUUCAUAAUCCAUGCGGUUUGACAUAGCCUCAGAGGAAGCACGGGCUAAGUUCGUGCCAGCAGCCGCGGUAAUACGAACUGUGCAAACGUUAUUCGGAAUCACUGGGCUUAAAGGGUGCGUAGGCGGUCAUUUAGGUAGGGUGUGAAAGCCCCCGGCUCAACCGGGGAAUGGCGCCCUAAACCGGGUGACUGGAGUGAGAUAGGGGUGUGUGGAACUUCCGGUGGAGCGGUGAAAUGUGUUGAUAUCGGAAGGAACGCCGGUGGCGAAAGCGACACACUGGGUCUCAACUGACGCUGAGGCACGAAAGCCAGGGGAGCAAACGG